UACGGAGGAUGCGAGCGUUAUCCGGAUUUAUUGGGUUUAAAGGGUGCGUAGGCGGACGCUUAAGUCAGCGGUAAAAUUGCGGGGCUCAACCUCGUCGAGCCGUUGAAACCGGAGCGCUAGAAUUCCGAUGCCGUCGGAGGAAUGUGUGGUGUAGCGGUGAAAUGCAUAGAUAUCACACAGAACACCGAUUGCGAAGGCAGCAUACCGGCGCUCAACUGACGCUCAUGCACGAAAGCGUGGGUAUCGAACAGG
rnacentral:rRNA from 1 species